GGUGCUGCGAAGCCAAUUUCCAUCAAGGCCAGGGGCUAAAUAAGGGAGAUCUCUAUUAUUUAUGAUUGAUGUAUUUGAACUUAAUCAAUCUAUAGGGACCAAUGUGGAUAACAUUAUGCAGGUUAGCUUUUCAAUGUUUCUUGUACUGUCACUCUGAUCGAACUCCUUAAGUGCAUAUCAACUAACCAAGACUCUUUGACCAUGCGAGGAAGUAUGCUUUCCAUAAACUAUACGAUUUGCUUGACUGAUUGAUAAAUUUUUGGUUCUUUUUC
rnacentral:lncRNA from 1 species